rnacentral:rRNA from 1 species
AUUGAACGCUAGCGGCAUGCUUUACACAUGCAAGUCGAACGAGUGGCGGACGGGUGCGUAAUAUCUCUGAACCUGCCCAGUAGCGGGGGAUAACUACUCGAAAGAGUGGCUAAUACCGCAUACUAUUGGCUCGGCCGCUAUGGGAUUAGAUAUUUGGGGGGGUAAAGGCUCACCAAGGCAAAGAUCCCUAGCUGGUCUGAGAGGACGACCAGCCACACUGGGACUGAGACACGGCCCAGACUCCUACGGGAGGCAGCAGUGGGGAAUUUUGGACAAUGGGGGAAACCCUGAUCCAGCCAUCCCGCGUGUAUGAGAAGGCCUUCGGGUUGUAAAGUACUUUUGGCAGAGAGGCGGUAUCUGCAGAAUAAGCACCGGCUAACUACGUGCCAGCAGCCGCGGUAAUUC